CGGACAUUAAGGGAGAUGAAAGGCAGAGAAAAAAAUCCCGUGGCUGAAGCAGGUGUAAACCUGCCUCUGUCUCCUGUAGGACAACAUGACAUUCCAACAGAGGGAUCACAUUAUGACGAUUUGAACCUUGAGGAAAGAGAACC